UACGAAGGGGGCUAGCGUUGCUCGGAAUCACUGGGCGUAAAGCGCACGUAGGCGGGUUGCUAAGUCGGGGGUGAAAUCCUGGAGCUCAACUCCAGAACUGCCUUCGAUACUGGUGGCCUUGAGUCCGGGAGAGGUGAGUGGAACUCCGAGUGUAGAGGUGAAAUUCGUAGAUAUUCGGAAGAACACCAGUGGCGAAGGCGGCUCACUGGCCCGGUACUGACGCUGAGGUGCGAAAGCGUGGGGAGCAAAC
rnacentral:rRNA from 1 species